rnacentral:rRNA from 1 species
AUGGAGGAGGGGGAGCUACCUGCUGGCAAUAUAGAUGAAGAUAGUAACAUUACCAUUUCUCUAGGUUACCCUGACAGUGCCAACUAUGUUUCCUCUGCUAAUGGUCCCUUGGCGCCACUUGAAGGAGGUAUCCUAGAUUUGAAUGAGUUAAUUGGGCCCAUUGCAGUUGGCCCAGCCCAGGAAGCCCAUGUGCCACUAGUGCCUCAUGUGAUUGAACUAGUUCAGCCUGCACUGGAGGAGGGCCCAAUAAAUGUUCUUAUCACUAUCAAUCGGCCCAGCAUGGAUCACAUCAUGGGACUUCUUCCACAACAAAUUGUCCCUCAUUAUUCCGACGUCUCUGUGGAUCCUAUGCAACUUGAAUUACUAGCCAAUGCUACUUAUCAACUAGCAGCUUUAGCAUUUCGAGCUAAUCCAGUUAGUCGGGCUGAUAUAGUGGCAGGUAGUACUUCUGCAUAG